UACAUGGGGUGCAAACGUUGCUCGGAAUUAUUGGGCGUAAAGCGCACGUAGGCGGUUUGUUAAGUCGGAUGUGAAAUCCCUCGGCUCAACUGAGGAAGUGCAUCCGAAACUGGCAAGCUUGAGUACGAAAGAGGGUCGCAGAAUUCCCGGUGUAGAGGUGAAAUUCGUAGAUAUCGGGAGGAACACCGGUGGCGAAGGCGGCGACCUGGGUCGAUACUGACGCUGAGGUGCGAAAGCGUGGGGAGCAAACAGG
rnacentral:rRNA from 1 species